AGACUUCAAAACCCAAGGGUUCUAAGUGCACCAGACUUCCAGAGCCGACGAACUAAGCAAAGAAAUCUCUGGCUUUCCUGCUUAAUCAAUUAACAUACAAUGUUAUUUAUUAAUCUCACAAUUAUCACUGCCUCCAGAGCUAAGUAUUCUUUAUAGCUCAAGUGGUGUGUGUGUGUGUGUGUGUGUGUGUGUGAGAGAGAGAGAGAGAGAGAGAGAGAGAGAGAGAGAGAGAGAGAGAGAGAGAAAGAGCCAGAGAGAGAGAGUAUGUGUGAAGGAGUUUGGUCUUAAGUAAGGUAAAUGGUGAGAGCUACAGUACUCAUUGAGAUCACAAAGCCAGAAUUACCUGUUUUGUGUCUUGAACCCUUAACAGUAACUCUGCUGCCUAACCCUUUUUGUGGACUGGGUGGUGGUUAGCAGAAUGUAUAGGGGGUCCCAAGAAUUCAU